AGUGGCUUGACAUCCUCUGACAACCGUGGAAACACGGCAUUCCCUUCGGGGACAGAGUGACAGGUGCUGCAUGGCAGUCGUCAGCUCGUGUCGUGAGAUGUUGGGUUAAGUCCCGCAACGAGCGCAACCCCUAUCUUUAGUUACCAGCGGGUAAUGCCGGGGACUCUAAAGAGACUGCCGGCGGUGAGCCGGAGGAAGAUGGGGAUGACGUCAUGUCCUCAUGGCCCUUAUGCCCUGGGCUGCACACGUGCUACAAUGGCCGGUACAACGGGUCGUGAAACCGUGAGGUGGAACCAAUCCCUUAAAGCCGGUCUCAGUUGGGAUUGUAGUCUGCAACUCGACUACAUGAACCUGGAAUCGCUAGUAAUCGCGGAUCAGCACGCCGCGGUGAAUACGUUCCCGGGCCU
rnacentral:rRNA from 1 species